GAACUUAUGACUAUAGUGAAAAGCCUCGUAUAUUCAGCAACGAAGAACGAUUUAUUCACGUCAUGGGGAAAAUUCAAGGCUAAUCCUCUUUCGGAGAAGUAUCCUAACUUUAGAAGCUAUCUAGGCUCACUGAUGGAAAGGAGUGACGAGUGGGCGAUAACGUUCAGGGCAGGUGCGGUGCUACGUGGACAUCACACCAACAACUUCUGUGAGGCAACAAUGUGCAUCAUUAAGGAAGUCGUUCUUAAUAGAUGCAAGGCAUACAACGCAACGCAGCUGAUCAUUUUCAUGGCCGAAAUCUUUGACAGCUACAUGAAGAAGAGGCUGGUGGACGUUGCGCUUGGCAGACGGAGAGUGAAAUCAUUAAGCACGGCUACACUGCCUCUAGAAAUGGUUACUUUCCAAGGUAACGGAAAGUACAGAGUCCAGAGCCAGUCUACUCCAUCCCUUCAGUACGACGUAGAUCUUGUGACUGGAUUUUGUGAGUGUACUGCAGGGGAAAAUGGUUCCUUGUGUAAACAUCAAGCUGCCUGUGCAGACUACAGCAUGACGGUCCUGCCCCAAGUCUUCACUGCCACUACUGAAAACAGACGGUGGCUGGCGUCAGUGGCAGUAGGCGACGAGAAAGUUCCACCCGAAGGCUUUUUUAGAGGACUGUUGGAGCCAACAUUAGAAAAAGAAGAAACUGCCUGUGCUUCUCCUGUUCAGGAAUCCCAGGAAAGCACAGAGAUCCAGCUAAUGCCUCCUGAAGUGAACGUCGAGAAUCAAGAUGAAAAUCCGCACCAGUCUCCAGAUGUUGGCGAGUUUGUAGCUACAUUCCAAAAUG